GGGGUAGACAUUGGUAGGAAAAACAAAUAAAUAAAAAAGAUUCACUCAAAAAUCAACAAAAGCCAUAACUCUAAAUGUCUUGACAGUGUAGUGUAACUUGAAGCUAAGACUGUCUGAGAGCCAGAAGAUAAAAUGUCCUCUACUGAUGUCCCCACGGACUUUAUGUACCUGUGCUGUGGAGUCUGAUUCUUGAGAUACUUGGGAAAGCAUCAUUCUGGACUGCCUCAUGUGGAAGUUGCCUCCUAGAAGCUGUUGUAUCCCACCAUGAUCAAGAGAGGAUAUAAACCAGUAUAAAC
rnacentral:lncRNA from 1 species